rnacentral:rRNA from 1 species
UACAGAGGGUGCGAGCGUUGUCCGAAGUUACUGGGCGUAAAGCGCGCGUAGGCGGGGGAUUAAGUGAGAGGUGAAAGGCUGGGGCUCAACCUCAUGCAGUGCCUCUCAUACUGGUUCUCUUGAGGGCGGUAGGGAGAAGUGGAAUGGCUGGUGUAGCGGUGGAAUGCGCAGAUAUCAGGAGGAACACCAAUAGCGAAGGCAGCUCGCUGGGACGUUACUGACACUGAGGCGCGAAAGCGUGGGGAGCGAACAGG